GACAAUGUGGCAUAAUGGUUUGAGUGUUGAAUUAUGAUUCUGGAGACCAGGGUUCGAUUCACAGCUUGGCCA